AAAGUUGUCACGUAGGUUCAAGC
rnacentral:piRNA from 1 species